ensembl:snoRNA SNORD121B small nucleolar RNA, C/D box 121B
CUGGGAAAGACAAUGAUGCUUUAUUUCCAAGCACAUAUCUGAGUUGUAUGUGUGGAUAGAACUGAAACUGAGUCUUUCUACAG